CUAAACGCGUACACACACACAGGCUCUGUAAAGGGGAGUAGAGAUGCAGCAAGAAAUCCCCAUCGCUAUUAACUACAAGAAGAGAGCAAUUCUUCCUGCUCUGGGGAGAGGCGUGGGGUGUCCUCCAGGGGAAGCCCAUCCUCCCUGCUUCGCUGGACCCCAGAGAACCUGCUUGAGACCAUCCUUCCUUCUGUGCCCCAAAGGAAGCCAGAGCGACCCUGCGGGAAAGGGGCAGCGGAUAGAUCGAGAGGCGCGUGGGCAGGCUCCCGGACAUGCACAGACAUGCAAAUACCAAGAUUCAAGCGGAAGCUGAAUAUGAGAAGAUUAAACAUGUGGAUUUCCCCGUGUGAUGAAACAGACACAAGCAUUAGUGCACUGAUGACGGACUUCUGUGUGGCACAAAGCAAGGAUGAAGUGAGAAGGCCACGGUCAUGGACCAUAGUGACUUGGACCAGGAUGGUGGCACUGGAGGUCAUGAGAAUCUGCCCGAGUCUGGAUAGCUUUAAAUGAUUAAAAAAAAAAAAAAAGACAAGCAGAAUUUUCUGAUGAAAUUAAAGAUUUUUGGAUUCUCUUCUAGCUAACAACA